rnacentral:rRNA from 1 species
AUCCCUUCGGGGUGAUUUGUUGGACGCUAGCGGCGGAUGGGUGAGUAACACGUGGGCAAUCUGCCCUAAAGACUGGGAUACCACUUGGAAACAGGUGCUAAUACCGGAUAACAACAUGAAUCGCAUGAUUCAAGUUUGAAAGGCGGCGCAAGCUGUCACUUUAGGAUGAGCCCGCGGCGCAUUAGCUAGUUGGUGGGGUAAAGGCCUACCAAGGCAAUGAUGCGUAGCCGAGUUGAGAGACUGAUCGGCCACAUUGGGACUGAGACACGGCCCAAACUCCUACGGGAGGCAGCAGUAGGGAAUCUUCCACAAUGGACGCAAGUCUGAUGGAGCAACGCCGCGUGAGUGAAGAAGGUUUUCGGAUCGUAAAGCUCUGUUGUUGGUGAAGAAGGAUAGAGGCAGUAACUGGUCUUUAUUUGACGGUAAUCAACCAGAAAGUCACGGCUAACUACGUGCCAGCAGCCGCGGUAAUACGUAGGUGGCAAGCGUUGUCCGGAUUUAUUGGGCGUAAAGCGAGCGCAGGCGGAAUGAUAAGUCUGAUGUGAAAGCCCACGGCUCAACCGUGGAACUGCAUCGGAAACUGUCAUUCUUGAGUGCAGAAGAGGAGAGUGGAAUUCCAUGUGUAGCGGUGGAAUGCGUAGAUAUAUGGAAGAACAGCA